GCCGCGUGCGUAUACAUAACCUACCUACAUCGAAACCGUAUUUUCCGAAUCGUAGAAGUCGUCAACGAACCGUCGCCGUGCGUUAUACCCAUCUGCUCUCGUCGUUGUCGUAGCAGCGAGCACCCACCUGUCGUUGUGUGAUAAAUUAUUUUAAAAUUCGUCGUCGAAAAAAUUGCCGACCUAUCCGAUCCCGACUGAUCGAACCGCAGCGUCGGACCACCGCUUCCGAUAACCUCAACUGGAGCUGCGAUGUCAUACGCGUCAUAGACGCUCGAGUCCAGACACUAUUUUUCAGCGGCAGUGUUGUACCGUCUACGGCGUAAACAGUCUUCUCCAGACGACAAAACCUUAAAAAACAGUUCUCACCUCCGUGAACACAUCCACGAUACCAGCUACGACGGAAUUACAAUGUCGUCGGAAAACGGUCAAUCCGCGUCGUCCAUCGCCGGCAACGUGAAGCCGAAAAUGGAACACUUGAUAAACAAUUUGGACGAUAUGCUGUUGAAACAGGCCAGGCCCGCUGGACAGGACGAGUACGUCCGCCCCAGCGUGAUCGUGUGGAAUCCAGCGGCGAUGAGGAGGCAGGCGACUUUUGCGCAGGACGCAGGGGCGGCAAACCGGAACGCAGGAACCUACUUCCGGCCCGUUUGAGUGUUAUAACAAUAAGUUAAAUUGUAGUAUUACAAUAUUAUUAUUAUAGAAUCGUCACACACAACACGCACUACGCUCAGACUAUUAUUAAUUGAUAUUAUAUUAUUAUGUAAUACGACGUUUUAUUAUAUUAUUUUCUAAAUCAUAAUAAAUGUAAUUUUUUUUUACACGUAACUACGGAUCUCGUGAUUUGUAUUACACAACGACGAAAAAAGGUUACGUAUAUUUUAUAAGAUAUGUGUGUGUGUGAAUUCGAUUAAAUAAAUUUCAAAUUAUAUAUUAAACAAUAAUAACUGUUCGUCUGUUAACAUGAUA